rnacentral:rRNA from 1 species
AUACGUAGGGGGCAAGCGUUAUCCGGAUUUACUGGGCGUAAAGGGCUCGUAGGCGGUUCGUCGCGUCCGGUGUGAAAGUCCAUCGCUUAACGGUGGAUCCGCGCCGGGUACGGGCGGGCUUGAGUGCGGUAGGGGAGACUGGAAUUCCCGGUGUAACGGUGGAAUGUGUAGAUAUCGGGAAGAACACCAAUGGCGAAGGCAGGUCUCUGGGCCGUUACUGACGCUGAGGAGCGAAAGCGUGGGGAGCGAACAGGAUUAGAUACCCUGGUAGUCCACGCCGUAAACGGUGGAUGCUGGAUGUGGGGCCCGUUCCACGGGUUCCGUGUCGGAGCUAACGCGUUAAGCAUCCCGCCUGGGGAGUACGGCCGCAAGGCUAAAACUCAAAGAAAUUGACGGGGGCCCGCACAAGCGGCGGAGCAUGCGGAUUAAUUCGAUGCAACGCGAAGAACCUUACCUGGGCUUGACAUGUUCCCGACGGUCGUAGAGAUACGGCUUCCCUUCGGGGCGGGUUCACAGGUGGUGCAUGGUCGUCGUCAGCUCGUGUCGUGAGAUGUUGGGUUAAGUCCCGCAACGAGCGCAACCCUCGCCCCGUGUUGCCAGCGGAUUAUGCCGGGAACUCACGGGGGACCGCCGGGGUUAACUCGGAGGAAGGUGGGGAUGACGUCAGAUCAUCAUGCCCCUUACGUCCAGGGCUUCACGCAUGCUACAAUGGCCGGUACAACGGGAUGCGACGCGGCGACGCGGAGCGGAUCCCUGAAAACCGGUCUCAGUUCGGAUCGCAGUCUGCAACUCGACUGCGUGAAGGCGGAGUCGCUAGUAAUCGCGAAUCAGCAACGUCGCGGUGAAUGCGUUCCCGGGCCUUGUACACACCGCCCGUCAAGUCAUGAAAGUGGGCAGCACCCGAAGCCGGUGGCCUAACCCCUUGUGGGAUGGAGCCGUCUAAGGUGAGGCUCGUGAUUGGGACU